GUGUCAGCCGCCGCGGUAAUACGUAGGGUGCGAGCGUUAAUCGGAAUUACUGGGCGUAAAGCGUGCGCAGGCGGUUUUGUAAGUCAGAUGUGAAAUCCCCGGGCUUAACCUGGGAACUGCGUUUGAAACUGCAAGGCUAGAGUGUGGCAGAGGGGGGUGGAAUUCCGCGUGUAGCAGUGAAAUGCGUAGAGAUGUGGAGGAACACCGAUGGCGAAGGCAGCCCCCUGGGUCAACACUGACGCUCAGGCACGAAAGCAUGGGGAGCAAACAGGAUUAGAUACCCUGGUAGUCCAUGCCCUAAACGAUGUCAACUAGUUGUCGGGUCUUAACGGGCUUGGUAACGUAGCUAACGCGUGAAGUUGACCGCCUGGGGAGUACGAUCGCAAGAUUAAAACUCAAAGGAAUUGACGGGGACCCGCACAAGCGGUGGAUUAUGUGGAUUAAUUCGAUGCAACGCGAAAAACCUUACCUACCCUUGACAUGUAUUGAAACCCGCAGAGAUGUGGGUGUGCCCGAAAGGGAACGAUAACACAGGUGCUGCAUGGCUGUCGUCAGCUCGUGUCGUGAGAUGUUGGGUUAAGUCCCGCAACGAGCGCAACCCUUAUCAUUAGUUGCCAUCAUUUAGUUGGGCACUUUAAUGAGACUGCCGGUGGCAAACCGGAGGAAGGUGGGGAUGACGUCAAGUCCUCAUGGCCCUUAUGGGUAGGGCUUCACACGUAAUACAAUGGCGCGUACAGAGGGUUGCCAACCCGCAAGGGGGAGCUAAUCUCAGAAAGCGCGUCGUAGUCCGGAUCGGAGUCUGCAACUCGACUCCGUGAAGUCGGAAUCGCUAGUAAUCGCGGAUCAGCAUGUCGCGGUGAAUACGUUCCCGGGUCUUGUACACACCGCCCGUC
rnacentral:rRNA from 1 species